rnacentral:tRNA from 1 species
GCAAGUAUAGUUUUAACUAAAACAUCAGACUGUGACUCUAAAAACAGAAGAUAAACCCUUCUUACCUGCU